rnacentral:tRNA from 1 species
CGGGGCGUAGCGCAGCCCGGUUAGCGCGCCUGCUUUGGGAGCAGGAGGUCGUGAGUUCGAAUCUCACCGCCCCGA